rnacentral:rRNA from 1 species
AGAGUUUGAUCAUGGCUCAGAUUGAACGCUGGCGGCAUGCCUUACACAUGCAAGUCGAACGGCAGCAUGAUCUAGCUUGCUAGAUUGAUGGCGAGUGGCGAACGGGUGAGUAAUACAUCGGAACGUGCCCUGUAGUGGGGGAUAACUAGUCGAAAGAUUAGCUAAUACCGCAUACGACCUGAGGGUGAAAGUGGGGGACCGCAAGGCCUCAUGCUAUAGGAGCGGCCGAUGUCUGAUUAGCUAGUUGGUGAGGUAAAGGCUCACCAGGGCGACGAUCAGUAGCUGGUCUGAGAGGACGAUCAGCCACACUGGGACUGAGACACGGCCCAGACUCCUACGGGAGGCAACAGUGGGGAAUUUUGGACAAUGGGCGAAAGCCUGAUCCAGCAAUACCGCGUGUGUGAAGAAGGCCUUCGGGUUGUAAAGCACUUUUGUCCGGAAAGAAAUGGCUCUGGUUAAUACCUGGGGUCGAUGACGGUACCGGAAGAAUAAGGACCGGCUAACUACGUGCCAGCAGCCGCGGUAAU